rnacentral:rRNA from 1 species
UACGAAGGGUGCAAGCGUUACUCGGAAUUACUGGGCGUAAAGCGUGCGUAGGCGGUUUGUUAAGUCUGUUGUGAAAGCCCCGGGCUCAACCUGGGAAUGGCAAUGGAAACUGGCGAGCUAGAGUACGGUAGAGGAGAGUGGAAUUCCCGGUGUAGCAGUGAAAUGCGUAGAGAUCGGGAGGAACAUCAGUUGCGAAGGCGGCUCACUGGACCGGUAUUGACGCUGAGGUGCGAAAGCGUGGGGAGCAAACAGG